GAACUUACCUGACGCGAAGGACAACCGUGAUCAGGAAGGCGGUUCCUUCGAGGCGAGACUCCUCCAUUGCACACAGGUUGAGUUAACCCUCGCGAGUAAUCAAUUAUUUGAUACUCGAGCGUAUAAUUUUUGGGUUUAGGGAAGUGCGUUCGCGCAAUCCCGAU